UCUUUCUUGUUGAAACUCUUGUCAGGCUCUUUGUUCUCUUGAUGUUGAGAAGCUGGUUAUACCUGCUAUACCAGAACUUAUUGAGACAUGGACAAAGGUUUUUGGUUUUACACCCCUUGAAAAAUCAAAGAGACUGGGGAUGAAGUAUAUGAGUAUGAUAGUGUUCCCUGGCACGGAUAUGUUACAGAAGCCUCUAUUGAAGGAUCAGUUUAGUGAAGGCCAAGGGUCCAAUGCUGAUGCUUUCUCUGAAGUCAAACUCAACCAGGAUGAUAAAGGUGCUAUUUUACGUGUAGAACCAAGUCUUGCUGUAGCUGAUGGCUUCUUGAAUGAUGCGUCUGAUUUGAUGUGUGAUUCCACUGGUUCGUUAAAAGCUACUUCCAAGGACUCUCAUCAGAUAGAAAAUGUUAUGGGUUGUUUAGAUCUACCCGUUCCUAAUGGCUAUAUUUGUGAUAAAACAUCUACCUCAGACUUGUCCUCCUUGAACUCUCCUUUGGCAAGUCAAGAAACUUCCAAUGAAAUCAUGAGAAGUAACCUCAAUGACCAUAAAGAAGUUUCAGUGAGUGCUCAUAUGUUGUCCCUUGAUUCAAAAUCUCUCCAAGAUGUAGCUCGGUUGCCCCCAAAAACCACUGAGGAACUGGAGUCUUGUUGAUAUUAGUGGGUUGUCUGAUUUUGAGCCCUGCGGUAGUAUGAGUUCUUGCGAUGUCCCUGUGGUGCUAAUAGAAGGUGCUCCAUAUGUACGUUGUGUAGAUUUUUGAAGAUGUAACAUGCUAAUUUUGAUCUUUAAUUGAGCAACUGACACAGCCAAGUGUAUAUUCCUCCACGUAAUUACGGACGUAAACAUAUUCGGUGCUAUAUUUUUUUAGUAGCUGUUUUUUGGUUGAAAGUUGUAGAUAUCCUACAUGGCAGCGAAAGAAUGAGUAUUGAUCAAGAUAAUCUGACCGACAAACUGGAUUGGGAUGUGUAUAUCUAGGCGUAGCUGUUUUGAGCUCAACUGUAGAGAACCCGCUGAAGCUGCAUAGGAAUUGACGAUGUAGUGUUCUUUUGUCUUCUUUCGUCCGUGUAUAUUCUGUAGAUUGUUUCUUCUAGUAACUUUUGGUGCACCCAAGCCUAAUUUUAGUUUGUUACCAGUAUCGUCCGUAUGAGGAUUUGGUGUUUUGAUGUCAGUUGAAAUGACGCCCUUUUGAUUGAAAGUGAGCUGUUUUUUCGUCUUUAUUGGCAUUUUAUUUUCGAGAUAUCUGGAGCUGGUGUUCUCAUGGUUGCCAUUCUUCUGUUUUCUUGUGAGAUGUAGAACUCUUCUGUUAUGAUCAAUCUUGGGUAGAAUUUUCUCACUCUCUACAAUAACAAUGCGAAUGUUUAUUUA